rnacentral:rRNA from 1 species
CGGACGGGUGAGUAAUGUCUGGGAAACUGCCUGAUGAGGGGAUGACUACUGGAAACGGUAGCUAAUACCGCAUAACGUCGCAAGACCAAAGAGGGGGACCUUCGGGCCUCUUGCCAUCGGAUGUGCCCAGAUGGGAUUAGCUAGUAGGUGGGGUAACGGCUCACCUAGGCGACGAUCCCUAGCUGGUCUGAGAGGAUGACCAGCCACACUGGAACUGAGACACGGUCCAG